GGCUCCCUGUGCCCUCCCGCCCGCGGCCGCUCGGCUCUCUGAGUACACCGCUGGCAGCGGGACGCGCUUAGGGCUCUGAGCUCGCCCCUCGCAGAGCACUGAGCUCCGGCAGCCGCCCCGGGCUCACGGCCGAGYCCCUGCGCUCGCACUGCGCCCCAGCGGCUCCGGCAGCGGAAGCCUCCGGGCUGUUCUGCCACGAGUGUUGUGUUCCGAAACGGUGACGUUCUCCAAGUUAUUCUUGACUGGCURUCAAUCGGGUUUUGGAGGAAGUAUCCUGAGUAUGUGGUUGUCACUAUGGAGAGCAUCUCUGGGUUGCAACCUAGGGCUCCAUGGCUGUUUCAGGAAAACAGAGCUAUUAGGGCAGCUUUGACAGAAUUAAAAACUCYCCAUGAGAAAGAAUCUCCAGGACAGUGGUCAUAAAUUAAAACCAGCUGUCACAAGUACAACCUUGGCUUUCAACWCCUCCACCUGUACUGCAGCCCUGAGGCUUUGUGAAGCAAAGAGAGCAGCCCUGGAGCCCCCCACACCCAUCGUUGGUGACAGCCCCCAGCUCUCACAGCUGGCACCAGGGACAGCAGCAGCUGGACACCCCACAGGAUCCCUGCCAAGGAGCCUUGCAGAAUUAARGGGACAGGAUUAGGGGCUGACAUGCCAAUCUGUAUCAUCUACUGGUCCAGUCUGGAGGUGAAGAAGUCACUGACUCCUCUCACCYCCAAAAACUUCUAAAAGCAUCUGCAAUCUGCAAGUUCCAGUGAGGGGUUACUGUGCAGCCCAGCUGGACUGAAGGGCAGCAGACAUUCUACAGAGCACAAGGUGAAAUGAAUUUCUAUAAAAAAUAGAAGCAAAAUGCCAGAUCCUUAAGAAAAGUGCCAGCAGACCUUUAAUGGUGCUGGGAACCAGCCAAGACCGCGAGUUACAUUUCUUUUGAAAGAAUUCUGUAUAAUGAAGCACAGUGAAAAAAUAUGCAGAGAGACUGACAGCGGUGUUUAUUUUAUUCAUGGCACUACAUUUAUUCAGGGAACAGAGUGGGGGGGAAAAAGCCCUGGACUGAGAAAAAAGGAGGUGGUCUUCCAAUAACCAUAAAACCACACAGACCURGAGCAGAAGGCCAGGAAACUCUUGUUCCCUCUGCAGACUUGGGGAUGCUGCCCCUGCAACAUCUAGUAGUUUUAUAGCCAGCGAUGGARCAUGCAGGGGACAGCAGGCCUUGGAGGAAAAGAGCUGGGUUUUAUUUUUUGAGGAGGUGGGAAACUGAAGGGGAGGAUGAAAAAAAUUGUGUAAACCAUGUUUUAUAAGUAAAGUUUUAAAGGUCCCUUAGCAGACUUAAAAAAAGAUGAAGUACACUCACUACAUUCUUUCUUUCCACGGACGGAACGGGCCAGCGAAAACAACUGACCUCAACUGUUUGAAUCCUGUGUGGGUUGUUACGCAACAGCCCAACCACUCCCCUGCACUUCUGCUGGGGAGCUGCACAUGGCUGAGAAGUUCAUUCUUUAACUGCCCUCCCGAAUUUGUUUUCCUUACAGCCAACCUGCAGCUGAUUGCUAACAUCAGCAACCGUAACAGCAGUUCAAAGAAUAUCGCUUUUGCAGCA